UACAGAGGUCCCAAGCGUUGUUCGGAUUCACUGGGCGUAAAGGGUGCGUAGGCGGUCGGGUAAGUCUGAUGUGAAAUCUCACAGCUUAACUGUGAAACUGCAUUGGAUACUAUUCGGCUUGAGAGUUGGAGGGGGGACUGGAAUUCUUGGUGUAGCAGUGAAAUGCGUAGAUAUCAAGAGGAACACCAGUGGCGAAGGCGAGUCCCUGGACAACUUCUGACGCUGAGGCACGAAAGCUAGGGGAGCGAACAGG
rnacentral:rRNA from 1 species